rnacentral:tRNA from 1 species
GGGGCCGUAGCUCAGUUGGGAGAGCGCAGCGUUCGCAACGCUGAGGUCAGGGGUUCAACUCCCCUCGGCUCCACCA